GCUCUCUUCCUUGAAUCUCUUUUGCUGGUUCAACAUGGAGAAGAGGAUGAUUCCGAUCGCGCUGUUGGAGGGCGUCACGCGGUGGGGAUUUCGUGGCCCGCCGAAUCUUUACGGCAGCCGCAGAGGAGGAGGAGGAGGAAACGGCGUUGGCCGAGAUUGCGACGAAGUCGGAUGCUAGGGUUUCUCCAGUUUUGCGGCUUAUUUAGGUCGCCCGCCCCAAUGGAGUGCGACUCCAGGACUUAAUGCCGUUUGGUUUUUGGUCGUAUUAGAGGACAAGGAGGGUGGGGAGGAGGUAAUGGGAUUGGACGAGAUUGCGAGGUAGCCACAUGCUAGGGGACGGCGUUUCAGCUCGCCCACCCUAAUGGAGCGAUGGAUCCAGGACGGGCUACUCCGGAUACGAGGUUCUCAUCGCCGGUGUUCUCAGUGAUAAAACAAGAUUUUUGCUGUUGUUCACCACUCUGCAGCAUGAUGCGGAAGCUGGUUCACUGAAGAAGUUUCUCCUAUCAGAUGAUGCAGUGGUGGCAGUGAAGAGUCCAAGUUUAUUGUCCUUCCACAUGCAAUUGAUCUCCUCUUCCUUCCCCUCAACUGCGGCCACCGACAUUAGCACCUAGUGGCAUCAGGCCUGCUAAUCAUCCCUGAAGCCCCAACAUCUUGUGCUCGGCAUCGUCUUGGCCACAUCUGAUGUGAUCAAUGGAUCUCAUAUCAGCACAUUGUCCAAACCUUUGAGGGUUUUAAGGAAUUAUCUGCAUAAGUAGACUGAUCAAGACAGACAGGUGUUGGCACAAACUUAUGUGAAGACGGGCUUUCCUUAAUGGAGAGGUUGAUUCUUCAAUAUUCCAUGCAUGGGAAACAAAGGCUAUAAUGCAUUUUGAGGUGUUGGCCAGGACUGAAGAUAAUGGAAGAGCAGUCCCAGAGAGGAUUGCUGACAUCCAUCCAUCUGAUACAGGAAAGAGUGGUAGAUAGCUCACGGACCUGGGAAUUGUCUCUAAGGCUCAAGUAAUCCAGCUACCCCCUGACCUUUGACAAGUUCUUCCUUGUUGCUUUUGUUUUGGGAAGAGGGAACAGCCAGCAUAAGAGUUCCCAUCUGAUACAGGAAAGAGUGGUAGAUAGCUCACGGACCUGGGAAUUGUCUCUAAGGCUCAAGUAAUCCAGCUACCCCCUGACCUUUGACAAGUUCUUCCUUGUUGCUUUUGUUUUGGGAAGAGGGAACAGCCAGCAUAAGAGUUCCAAAUCAGGAAUUUUAAUUUUCUUUUAUGUCACCAAAGAACCAAAGAACCAAAGAACAAGCUGCUUGUGCUGUGCAAUCAUUCCAAGAAACUGUAUCCACAUGAUGAUUCAAGAAAAGGGGAAUGCUGUGUUUUCCUUUUUACAAAGAAGAAUGAAGCUUUAUUAUCUGCGCAGUCCAUAAUAGA